AUGGUACCAAAUCUUGGCUCAGCGAUUUUACUGAUUGCUGUUUUAAGUGCCCCCGGCAGAGCCGAGAUCCGGCAGCCGGUCUCAGCAGAAGCGGUGGAGGGAGCCGAACUGAACCUCACCUGCUCCCACGCCUCAAUCUCCAACGAAAAUGUGUUUUGGUACCGGCAGUUCCCAAAUCGAGCUCCCCAAUAUAUAGUCUCUGGCUACCAGGGACUCUUUAAUAGCAGCGACCCGGAGGGAGCUUUGCACAUCCCUAAAGACAGAAAAUCCAGCGCCCUGGCCCUGAGCAGGGCGCGGCUGGCAGACGCAGCGGUGUAUUACUGCGCCCUGAGCGACACAGUGUGA